AAUUAUACCGUGAAACUGCGAAUGGCUCAUUAAAUCAGUUAUCGUUUAUUUGAUAGUACCUUACUACUUGGAUAACCGUGGUAAUUCUAGAGCUAAUACAUGCUAAAAGCCCCGACUUCGGAAGGGGUGUAUUUAUUAGAUUAAAAACCAAUGCCCUUCGGGGCUCUUUGGUGAUUCAUGAUAACUUAACGAAUCGCAUGGCCUUGUGCCGGCGAUGGUUCAUUCAAAUUUCUGCCCUAUCAACUUUCGAUGGUAGUAUAUGGGACUACCAUGGUUUCAACGGGUAACGGGGAAUUAGGGUUCUAUUCCGGAGAGGGAGCCUGAGAAACGGCUACCACAUCCAAGGAAGGCAGCAGGCGCGCAAAUUACCCAAUCCCGACACGGGGAGGUAGUGACAAUAAAUACUGAUGCAGGGCUCUUUUGGGUCUUGUAAUUGGAAUGAGUACAAUUUAAAUCCCUUAACGAGGAACAAUUGGAGGGCAAGUCUGGUGCCAGCAGCCGCGGUAAUACCAGCUCCAAUAGCGUAUAUUAAAGUUGUUGCAGUUAAAAAGCUCGUAGUUGAACCUUGGGCCUGGCUGGCCGGUCCGCCUCACCGCGUGCACUGGUCCGGCCGGGUCUUUCCUCCUGGGGAGCCGCAUGCCCUUCACUGGGUGUGUCGGGGAACCAGGACUUUUACUUUGAAAAAAUUAGAGUGUUCAAAGCAGGCCUAUGCUCGAAUACAUUAGCAUGGAAUAAUAGAAUAGGACGUGUGGUUCUAUUUUGUUGGUUUCUCGGACCGCCGGAAUGAUUAAUAGGGAUAGUCGGGGGCAUCAGUAUUCAAUUGUCAGAGGUGAAAUUCUUGGAUUUAUUGAAGACUAACUACUGCGAAAGCAUUUGCCAAGGAUGUUUUCAUUAAUCAGGGAACGAAAGUUAGGGGAUCGAAGACGAUCAGAUACCGUCGUAGUUUUAACCAUAAACUAUGCCGACUAGGGAUCGGGCGAUGUUAUUUUUUUUUUGACUCGCUCGGCACCUUACGAGAAAUCAAAGUCUU
rnacentral:rRNA from 1 species